CUCCCAUCUUCACCAUGGUAACAUUCUAUCUUCUAGGAUCUAAUGUUCUAAUAUCUCAUCUAAUAAAAAAACAAUCAUGGUUCUGUGAUUUAAAUAGGAAGUAAGCUCCUUAAGAGUAGAGAUUUUUGGGCUCUCUUUUUGUACCUACCAUACUUAGCACAGAACCUAGCACAUAGGAAACAAUUACUGGUUGUUUACUGAUUGGUAUAAAUAGACAUAUAAAUUGAUUCUAGGCAUAAUCACAUCUGGAUUCUCUUCUGGUUUCAGACUUUAAUCAGAUCUUCUCUGGAGAGAAAUCACUGACCUUUCAUCAUGACAGUAUCUACAGUGCAACCUUGCUGAUCUCAAGGUGGACUAGAAGUGAACACAAAUGGGAUUUCCUAUAUAAGAUAUCAUCACUAUUAAUGAGGCAUAAAUUCAAGAGUGCUACUAUCUUCAAAUCUCUACAUUUUAAAAUGCUUUUUAAAUUCCUCUGAUUAGGAAAAAGAGAGGGACUUGAGUAAUUACUCAUGGUCUUAAUGUAUUCUUUUUCAUCUUAUUAUCCCAAGGCUUUAGGGAGCUCUUUAGGUAGUUCCAUGAGUAGGAGUUUCCAGAUAUCAAGGUAAAGUGAUAGAAUAACAUCAGGGAAAUAGGAAUCUAAGAAUAUUAAAAUCCUUGAACUCAUAAUUAUUUUCUCCACCACGGAUAGAGUACAUGGAGAGAGGGAAAUGAUUUGAAAUUUUGUGGAGGCUAGUAAAGUUUGGGAGAAUAUUUAUGCCUUAUCCCCAAGCCUGUCUAAAGGUAAUGGCUAGGCAAUAGAAUUUAAAUGAUUUGCCCAGGAUUACCUGAUUAGGAAGUAUCUAUGGCCACACUUGAAUCCAGGACUUCCCUUAUCCAGGCCUGGUACACAAUCCACUGAGCCAUCUAGAUAUCUCCUAAAAUAUACUUCUCCCCCUCUCUCCAGGAAGGCAGGUAAUAUUAUAUAGGUU
rnacentral:lncRNA from 1 species